rnacentral:rRNA from 1 species
UCGAGAAUCUUCCGCAAUGGACGAAAGUCUGACGGAGCGACGCCGCGUGAUGGAUGAAGUCCCUCUGGGACGUAAACAUCUUUUAUGAGGGAGAAAGUUUAUUGAUAGUACCUCACGAAUAAGGGGUUGCUAAACUCGUGCCAGCAGCAGCGGUAAUACGAGUGCCCCGAGCGUUAUCCGGAAUCAUUGGGCGUAAAGGGUGUGUAGGUGGCAUUGUUAGUCACACGUUAAACCCUGGGGCUUAACCCCAGAUCUGCGUGUGAUACGGCAAAGCUAGAGGAUGGCAGGGAUGUAUGGAACUCAUGGAGUAGGGGUGAAAUCCGUUGAUAUCAUGGGGAACACCGAAAGCGAAGGCAGUACAUUGGGCCACUCCUGACACUGAAACACGAAAGCGUGGGUAGCGAAUGGGAUUAGAUACCCGCGUAGUCCCUGAGCGGGCUGGCAAGGCGCAU